CAGUCGCCGCGGUAACACCGAGGGUGCGAGCGUUAAUCGGAUUUACUGGGCGUAAAGCGUGCGUAGGCGGCUUUUUAAGUCGGAUGUGAAAUCCCUGAGCUUAACUUAGGAAUUGCAUUCGAUACUGGGAAGCUAGAGUAUGGGAGAGGAUGGUAGAAUUCCAGGUGUAGCGGUGAAAUGCGUAGAGAUCUGGAGGAAUACCGAUGGCGAAGGCAGCCAUCUGGCCUAAUACUGACGCUGAGGUACGAAAGCAUGGGGAGCAAACAGGAUUAGAUACCCGGGUAGUCCCUGUCUCUUAUAU
rnacentral:rRNA from 1 species